rnacentral:lncRNA from 1 species
GGACUGUCCCUCUAACUACUGAUCGUAAGUUGUUCUGGAUAAGGGCAUUUUAAUCAUUCGGCGAGCUUGUCUGUGCACGGCCCUAGUAACCACAGUGAAUUAACACUGAACUGAUAUUAAAUAAGAAUCUGAGUCUACAUGCAGUUUGCCCCCCUCAGGUGACCCGGUGGUGCCGGCCGCUGCUGCCGCCACAGGAUGUUGCCUUGUGAUUGCUGUUAUUGCUGUCUGUGCAAUCUGGCGCCGAAGGUUGCGUGAAGAUAGAGAGAACCCCGUUUAUGACAACGUGCAAGUCACGAACAGACACGCGACCGGCAAAGACCUGGCCGCCACGACAGCAUCCAGGAAUCAGCAAAUGAACCACAUUUAUGUGAAUAUGCACGCGGUUCCGCGGAGGACAGCACAGGCGCGGCCGGCAGUGCUGACCUCCUCCGGCGGCCAGACGCCGGCCUAUCACAACGUGAGAGACCGGAGUCCAGCGAGGAGCCAGGCGACAUGCCAGACCUCACAGCAAUGACGUGGCGCACAGCGACCAUUGUGAACGGGUGAUAAUUAUCACAUAUCAUUAUGAAUAAAAGUUUUUUGUUUUAAAUAUUACUCCUGACA